CCAUGGGGAGCGUGGACGUCUGGCAAGGGGUAAAUCCUUACAUGCACUUAAUUCCAACGUGUUGUUGCUGAUCUUAUUUAGUGAUUUGCCUGGACCAGCUUAAUUUGACCGAAAAAGAAACAUAUCUAUUUCGUUUUAUCUUACCGACUUCCAUAUUGCUGAUAAAUGAAAUCCUUAUGCUAUACUAUUGCUCACGAUUCAUUGUCUCUUGUCAGGCAGAAUCACCUUCACCUUCUCGGCUUAGUCAACCAACUGCAGGUAAACUAGGACAGCGAGUCGGUUUGGAUCAACCGACUCGGAGCAGAGGCAGAUGGCCUUGGAAAUACAAGCAAAGGAGAGUUGUCGGAUCUUUGGAGCCCUACUAGGACAAUGAAACCGAUGUGUUCCUCCUGACAAUGGUUCUCCAUUCUUCAUUUUUCUUCCGGGAUAGCAGUGCAGAUCCUUGUGUCGUGUGCCUCACUGGCUCACUCGGCUCAUCGCAAAGCCUUCUGUCUUUUCCUGUGUAAAGUUAGUCUUAUGACCGUGAUAGCAUCCGGUGAUUUAUGAAUGAAUCACCGUGACCAAGCAAUAGAGCCUUGUGAACCACCCGAUCGUUUGCCUUAAUUCAAGGUUGUACUAGCUGACCGACUAAGUUUGUUAGCGAUGUUUGUGUCAGUUCAUGCUGGUAUGUAGCAAUCGCCGUGCAGUCAGCGCCGUGCAGUCUGCUCAGAUAAAAAUAUGUAGGAAUAUGUAUAUCGCAUGCAACAAAAUCUUACAACAUCUGACAAAUGUCCAAUUUCCACCUGCAUGAUAUCUGUACAGCAAAUACUCUGGUGCAAAAUAAUAUUGCAUGACACUCUGGUGCAAAUUAGGUUGCCAGAAGCCCCAACAUAAUUUUUUUACGUCUCAUGCAACAAAAACU
rnacentral:lncRNA from 1 species